rnacentral:rRNA from 1 species
GAUGAACGCUGGCGGCGUGCCUAAUACAUGCAAGUCGAGCGAACGGACGAGAAGCUUGCUUCUCUGAUGUUAGCGGCGGACGGGUGAGUAACACGUGGAUAACCUACCUAUAAUACUGGGAUAACUUCGGGAAACCGGAGCUAAUACCGGAUGAUAUUUUGAACCGCAUGGUUCAAAAGUGAAAGACGGUCUUGCUGUCACUUAUAGAUGGAUCCGCGCUGCAUUAGCUAGUUGGUAAGGUAACGGCUUAUCAAGGCAACGAUGCAUAGCCGACCUGAGAGGGUGGUCGGGCACACGGGAACUGAGACCCGGCCCAGACUCUUACAGGGGGCAGCAGUAGGGAAUCUGGCGCUAUGGGCGAGAGCCUGAUGGUGCAUGGCGGCGUGAGUGAUGAAGGAGUUCCGAUCGUGAAACUCUGUUAUUAGGGAAGAACAUAUGUGUAAGUAACUGUGCACAUCUUGACGGUACCUAAUCAGAAAGCCACGGCUAACUACGUG